CUCAACUCCUGGCUUCUGUCCAUGCACACCCACACUCUUCCUUCCUUCCUGCUUCAGAGUUUUAUGGACGUGGAGCCCCCUACAACGCCUUGGCCGGGAAGGACUCGAGCAGAGGUGUGGCCAAGAUGUCGCUGGAUCCUGCAGACCUCACUCAUGACAUUGUAAGCCAGAUAAGCCUUUGUCAAAACACUCCGUUCCCACUCUGUGGGUUUUG
rnacentral:lncRNA from 1 species